rnacentral:rRNA from 1 species
UAGGGAAUCUUCGGCAAUGGACGAAAGUCUGACCGAGCAACGCCGCGUGAGUGAAGAAGGUUUUCGGAUCGUAAAACUCUGUUGUUAGAGAAGAACAAGGACGUUAGUAACUGAACGUCCCCUGACGGUAUCUAACCAGAAAGCCACGGCUAACUACGUGCCAGCAGCCGCGGUAAUACGUAGGUGGCAAGCGUUGUCCGGAUUUAUUGGGCGUAAAGCGAGCGCAGGCGGUUUCUUAAGUCUGAUGUGAAAGCCCCCGGCUCAACCGGGGAGGGUCAUUGGAAACUGGGAGACUUGAGUGCAGAAGAGGAGAGUGGAAUUCCAUGUGUAGCGGUGAAAUGCGUAGAUAUAUGGAGGAACACCAGUGGCGAAGGCGGCUCUCUGGACGAAGACUGACGCUCAGGUGCGAAAGCGUGGGGAGCAAACAGG